rfam:TPA: Bos taurus chromosome 9, whole genome shotgun sequence.
UCCCUCGUGGUCUAGUGGUUAAGACUUUGCACUUCCAGUGCAGAGGUCACAGUUUCAAUCCCUGGCCAGGGAA